rnacentral:rRNA from 1 species
CCUACGGGUGGCAGCAGUGGGGAAUAUUGCACAAUGGGGGAAACCCUGAUGCAGCGACGCCGCGUGAGGGAAGAAGGAAUUCGGGAUGUAAAGCUCUAUUAGCAGGGAAGAAAAUGACGGUACCUGAGUAAGAAGCCCCGGCUAACUACGUGCCAGCAGCCGCGGUAAUACGUAGGGGGCAAGCGUUAUCCGGAUUUACUGGGUGUAAAGGGAGCGUAGACGGCAGGGCAAGUCUGGAGUGAAAGGUGGGGGCUCAACCCUCGGACUGCACUGGAAACUGUACGGCUGGAGUGCUGGAGAGGUAAGUGGAAUUCCUAGUGUAGCGGUGAAAUGCGUAGAUAUUAGGAGGAACACCAGUGGCGAAGGCGGCUUACUGGACUGUAACUGACGUUGAGGCUCGAAAGCGUGGGGAGCAAACAGGAUUAGAUACCCUUGUAGUC